rnacentral:tRNA from 1 species
GUGAACAUAGUUCAGUUGGCAGAACCCCAGGAUGUGACCCUGGUGGUCGGGAGUUCGAUCCUCCCUGUUCACA